rnacentral:ncRNA from 1 species
CAAAGGCUUGGUCCUGACUUUACUAUCUACUUUAGCUAAACUUACACAUGCAAGUAUCCGCCCCCCCGUGAGAACGCCCAUAGUCCUCUAAUCGAAGACAAGGAGCUGGUAUCAGGCUCAUAAUUUUACGCCCACGACACCUUGCUUAAGCCACACCCCCAAGGGCCCCAGCAGUGAUAAACAUUAAGCCAUAAGUGAAAGCUUGACUUAGUUACAGCUAAGAGGGCCGGUCAAAACUCGUGCCAGCCACCGCGGUUAGACGAGCAGGCCCAAGUUGAUAGUUCACGGCGCAAAGGGUGGUUAGGGAAAACAAAGACUAAAGUCGAACUAACUCAUUACUGUGAUAAGCCCAUAUGAUAAAAUGAAGCCCGCCCACGAAAGUGACUUUAUUAACCCUGAACCCACGAAAGCUAAGAAACAAACUGGGAUUAGAGACCCCACUAUGCUUAGCCCUAAACAUAGAUUUUACCAUUCCGUCCGCCUGGGGAUUACGAAUCCCAUUUAAAACCCAAAGGACUUGGCGGUGCUUUACAUCCCCCUAGAGGAGCCUGUUCUAGAACCGAUGAUCCCCGUUCAACCUCACCCUCUCUUGCCCCCCCCGCCUGUAUAUCUCCGUCGCAAACUUACCCUGCGAAGGACACAUAGUGAGUUUAAUUGAUACCUUACUCCAGAACGUCAGGUCAAGAUGCAGCUAAUGAGAGGGAUAAGAGAUGGGCUACAUUCCCUACUUCCAGGGAAAACGAAUGUUAUGAAUUGAAACAUCAAACUGAAGGUGGAUUUAGUAGUAAGCAGGGAACAGAGUGUCCUGCUGAAACUCGGCCCUAAAGUGUGCACAGACCGCCCGUCACCCUCCCCAGGAAAUCCUUAACUCAUGUUAACUAAAACCCCUUAUGCCCACAAGGGGAGGAAAGUCGUAACACGGUAAGCGUACUGGAAAGUGCACUUGGAUGAU